rnacentral:rRNA from 1 species
UACGGAGGGUGCAAGCGUUAUCCGGAUUCACUGGGUUUAAAGGGUGCGUAGGCGGGCUUGUAAGUCCGUGGUGAAAUCUCUGAGCUUAACUCGGAAACUGCCAUGGAUACUAUGGGUCUUGAAUACUCGGGAGGUGAGCGGAAUAUGUCAUGUAGCGGUGAAAUGCUUAGAUAUGACAUAGAACACCAAUUGCGAAGGCAGCUUGCUACAGAGUUAUUGACGCUGAGGCACGAAAGCGUGGGGAUCAAAC